CCCUACGGGGCGCAGCAGGCGCGAAAACUUUACAAUGCGGGAAACCGUGAUAAGGGAACCCCGAGUGCCCGUAAAUUCGGGCUGUCCAUCAGUGUAAAUAACUGGUGAAGAAAGGGCCGGGCAAGACCGGUGCCAGCCGCCGCGGUAAUACCGGCGGCUCGAGUGGUGGCCACUAUUACUGGGCUUAAAGCGUCCGUAGCUUGAUUGUUAAGUCUCUUGGGAAAUCUACCGGCUCAACCGAUAGGCGUUCAAGGGAUACUGGCAAUCUAGGGACCGGGAGAGGUGAGAGGUACUCCAGGGGUAGGAGUGAAAUCCUGUAAUCCUUGGGGGACCACCUGUGGCGAAGGCGUCUCACUAGAACGGCUCCGACAGUGAGGGACGAAAGCUGGGGGAGCAAACCGGAUUAGAUACCCGGGUAGUCCCAGCCGUAAACGAUGCGCGUUAGGUGUAUCGGUGACCACGAGUCACCGAGGUGCCGAAGGGAAACCGUGAAACGUGCCGCCUGGGAAGUACGGUCGCAAGGCUGAAACU
rnacentral:rRNA from 1 species